GAUGAACGCUGGCGGCGUGCCUAAUACAUGCAAGUCGAGCGAACGGACGAGAAGCUUGCUUCUCUGAUGUUAGCGGCGGACGGGUGAGUAACACGUGGAUAACCUACCUAUAAGACUGGGAUAACUUCGGGAAACCGGAGCUAAUACCGGAUAAUAUUUUGAACCGCAUGGUUCAAAAGUGAAAGACGGUCUUGCUGUCACUUAUAGAUGGAUCCGCGCUGCAUUAGCUAGUUGGUAAGGUAACGGCUUACCAAGGCAACGAUGCAUAGCCGACCUGAGAGGGUGAUCGGCCACACUGGAACUGAGACACAGUCCAGACUCCUACGGGAGGCAGCAGUAGGGAAUCUUCCGCAAUGGGCGAAAGCCUGACGGAGCAACGCCGCGUGAGUGAUGAAGGUCUUCGGAUCGUAAAACUCUGCUAUUAGGGAAGAACAUAUGUGUAAGUAACUGUGCACAUCUUGACGGUACCUAAUCAGAAAGCCACGGCUAACUACGUG
rnacentral:rRNA from 1 species